rnacentral:lncRNA from 10 species
CUCUGUGUGGCUAAGAGUGAUCUAAGAGAAGUUAUUUCCUCAAGAUAUUUUGAAGCUGUAGUGUGGGGAAACAGUUCUCAAACCCCAGUGUGGAUCAGGAUCACCUGGAGGGCUUACUAAGCUACAUAUUGUUGGGUCCACCCCAGAGUUUCGAUUCAGUCGAUCAGGGGAUCAGAGGUGGGGCCUAAGAAUUUGCAUGUUUUUAACUCUUUUUUUUUUUUUUUUUUUUUGAGAUGGAGUCUCGCUCUGUCACCCAGGCUGGAGUACAGUGGCAAGAUCUCGACUCACUGCAACCUCUGCCUGCCGGGUUCAAGCAAUUCUCCUGGCUCAGCCUCCCAAGUAGCUGGGAUUACAGUGUACCACACCAAGGAACUCCCACACUCUGAAUGAACAGCCCAGUGAUCAGGAGCUUUGAAUCAAUUCUUGGCACCUAACAGUUUGUGAAGAGUCUGCUAAACUCCCUCUAUCAGAAAUCCCAGAGGACUGAGAACAGGUCAUCCUUGGAGCUGUAUCUGAAUGGAGUCAGGAUCUGGAAGCCCAAGUCUCCUUGUCAAUGUCUGCUUGGUUCCCAAGGACACCUGUAAAUGGAAGAGGGGCAUAGUACACAGAAGACAUUGCUGGCAAGUGUGGUCUCUUUACGAUCAGAAACUAUUCUUAAGACCGGACGCGGUGGCUCAUGCCUGUAAUCCCAGCACUUUGGGAGGGCCGACAUGGGUGAAUCACCUGAGGUCAGGAGUUCAAGAGCAGCCUGGGCAACAUGGUGAAACCCGUCUCUACUAAAAAUACAAAAUAUUAGCUGGGCGUGGUGGUGUGCACCUGUAAUCCCAGCUACUCAGGAGGCUGAGACAGGAGAAUCACUUGAACCUGGGAGGUGGAGGUUGCCGUGAGCCGAGAUCGUGCCAUUGCACUCCAGCCUGGGCAACAAGAGCAUAACUCCGUCUCAAAAUAAAUAAAUUAAUCAAAUAAAAACUAUUCUUUAACAGUA